GCCUUCGUGGUGUAAUGGUCAGUACACUCGGCACAUAUUCGAGAGGUCCGAGGUUCGAGUCCCGGUGAGGGCU
rfam:Stegodyphus mimosarum contig91743, whole genome shotgun sequence.